rnacentral:rRNA from 1 species
CACGUAGGAGGCGAGCGUUGUCCGGAAUCAUUGGGCGUAAAGAGCGCGCAGGCGGCUUGGCAAGUCGGGUGUGAAAUCCCGGGGCUCAACCCGGUGACUGCAUCCGAUACUGUCAGGCUAGAGGUAGGUAGGGGAGAUCGGAAUUCCUGGUGUAGCGGUGAAAUGCGCAGAUAUCGGGAGGAACACCCGUAGCGAAGGCGGUUCUCUGGGCCAAUACUGACGCUGAGGAGCGAAAGCGUGGGGAGCAAACAGG